rnacentral:miRNA from 1 species
GUUUAGCUCUCUGAUUGGUU